GCCGCUGAAUUGUCAAGGUACCGAGUUCGAAUUGCAGUCUGGCACGAAUCACGUUGAGAGUGGACGGUCGCAGUCGAUUGCCGGAUGUGGUCGGAUGCGCUAGAGGAUUUUACCGUGUUUAUCCAUUCAUGAAGGAAGCAAAAAUUUGCGGGCGCAUUGGCGACGUUCCGCCUUUCCAGUGGUAUGUCGACAACCACCAACCAAAAGAUGUGACCAUUAUUAUGGAUAAUACAGGAAUCGGUGACGGAAACCCUGAGGGCUUGUCAUUUACCCUUCAAGGUGAAUGUGUGAAUGACAAGAUGAUUGGAGUCAGAAAGGAAAACGUCAGAUUCAGUCGACGAUGAAUAAAUCGACAAAUCGAAGAUUUUGAAGCCGGAGAAGGGCCUAGAAUAAUCAUCAAGCCCAGCCAUGGUCUCAAACAUCAAAUUCCCGUUACAAAAGUACCAAAAACUACUUCAACUAGCACAGCACCAACUAAACAACCACCUGUUUUUAACGAUA